CCUACGGGUGGCAGCAGUGAGGAAUAUUGGUCAAUGGACGAGAGUCUGAACCAGCCAAGUAGCGUGAAGGAUGACUGCCCUACGGGUUGUAAACUUCUUUUAUAUGGGAAUAAAAUGUUCCACGUGUGGGUUUUUGUAUGUACCAUAUGAAUAAGGAUCGGCUAACUCCGUGCCAGCAGCCGCAGUAAUACGGAGGAUCCGAGCGUUAUCCGGAUUUAUUGGGUUUAAAGGGAGCGUAGGUGGAUUGUUAAGUCAGUUGUGAAAGUUUGCGGCUCAACCGUAAAAUUGCAGUUGAGACUGGCAGUCUUGAGUACAGUAGAGGUGGGCGGAAUUCGUGGUGUAGCGGUGAAAUGCUUAGAUAUCACGAAGAACUCCGAUUGCGAAGGCAGCUCACUGGACUGCAACUGACACUGAGGCUCGAAAGUGUGGGUAUCAAACAGGAUUAGAUACCCCAGUAGUC
rnacentral:rRNA from 1 species